rnacentral:rRNA from 1 species
AGUGAACGCUGGCGGUAUGCCUAACACAUGCAAGUCGAACGGCAGCACAGUAAGAGCUUGCUCUUACGGGUGGCGAGUGGCGGACGGGUGAGGCAUACAUCGGAAUCUACUUUUUCGUGGGGGAUAACGUAGGGAAACUUACGCUAAUACCUCAUAUGACCUACGGGUGAAAGCAGUGGAUCUUCGGACCUUGCGCGAUUGAAUGAGCCGAUGUCGGAUUAGCUAGUUGGCGAGGUAAGGGCCCACCAAGGCGACGAUCCGUAGCUGGUCUGAGAGGAUGAUCAGCCACACUGGAACUGAGACGCGGUCCAGACUCCUACGGGAGGCAGCAGUGGGGAAUAUUCGGCAAUGGGCGAAAGCCUGACCGAGCAAUACCGCGUGAGUGAAGAAGGCCUUCGGGUUGUAAAGCCCUUUUGUUGGGAAAGAAAAGAAGCAGGUUAAUACCCCGAUGUUCUGACGGUACCUAAAGAAUAAGCACCGGCUAACUUCGUG